UUUAUUGGGUUGCCUGAAUUU
rnacentral:siRNA from 1 species